AUACGGAGGGGGCUAGCGUUGUUCGGAUUUACUGGGCGUAAAGGGCGCGUAGGCGGCCCAUAAAGUCAGGCGUGAAAGCCCCGGGCUCAACCUGGGAACUGCGCUUGAAACGUGUGGGCUAGAGUCCGGGAGAGGAUGGUGGAAUUCCCAGUGUAGAGGUGAAAUUCGUAGAUAUUGGGAAGAACACCGGUGGCGAAGGCGGCCAUCUGGACCGGUACUGACGCUAAGGCGCGAAAGCGUGGGGAGCAAACAGGAUUAGAAACCCCGGUAGUCC
rnacentral:rRNA from 1 species